AUGCUUUACACAUGCAAGUCGAACGGCAGCGCGGACUUCGGUCUGGCGGCGAGUGGCGAACGGGUGAGUAAUAUAUCGGAACGUACCCAGUAGCGGGGGAUAACUACUCGAAAGAGUAGCUAAUACCGCAUACGCCCUACGGGGGAAAGGGGGGGAUCGCAAGACCUCUCACUAUUGGAGCGGCCGAUAUCGGAUUAGCUAGUUGGUGGGGUAAAGGCCUACCAAGGCGACGAUCCGUAGCUGGUUUGAGAGGACGACCAGCCACACUGGGACUGAGACACGGCCCAGACUCCUACGGGAGGCAGCAGUGGGGAAUUUUGGACAAUGGGGGAAACCCUGAUCCAGCCAUCCCGCGUGUGCGAUGAAGGCCUUCGGGUUGUAAAGCACUUUUGGCAGGAAAGAAAUCGCACGGGUUAAUACCUUGUGUGGAUGACGGUACCUGCAGAAUAAGC
rnacentral:rRNA from 1 species